rnacentral:tRNA from 1 species
AUUGCUAUGGUGAAAUAGGUAGACACACAGGCUUGAGGUGCCUGGGCUCCUCGGGGCUUCCCGGUUCAAAUCCGGGUAGCAAUA